GCCGCUCUAGCCCAACUGGCAGAGGCGCUGCGCCCAGAGCGCAGAGGUUCCGGGUCCGAAUCCCGGGGGCGGCACGA
rnacentral:tRNA from 1 species